CUCCAUCUUUCAAGUCGAAAGCUGUAUCACUUCGCAUCAAGACAGCGAGAGAAAUAAAUCUAACAAUUUCCUCAACCGCCGCCGACAUGUCAUCUACCAGCGAGAGCAGGUACACCUAUGAGCAGUACAAGGAGACAGCUGAUUGGCUGCUGGAGCAUACACAGCACAUGCCCAAUGUGGCCAUCAUCUGUGGUUCUGGACUGUGAGGGCUGGCAGACUUACUGGAGAAUAGUGUAGCCUUCCCUUAUAAAGACAUCCCUCACUUCCCUCAGAGCACAGGUACAGUAUCCACACAUAACAUUGAGGACUGCUUACCUCUGACACUGUGUUGUGAGUCUGUAGCUUAACAUCUUAUUCACUUCAAAGUACAUGACUACAUUGCAUAAUAAAGUUCUAAAGCCAUGUCAUCAACAUUGUAUUUAUUCCUCUGUUCCCCAUCAUGUCUUUGUGUAGGAUUGUUUAUGUUACCUGUAUUUUGAUAUUGUGGAUAUUGUUACGUGCAUUACUUUUUGUCUAUGUUCUGUGUUUUGGGCACAUUUUAUGUUAUUUUGUGCUGUCAUUUUGACCGGAA
ensembl:lncRNA